AACCACAUGUCUUAGUGGUUUGAGUGAGACGAUGGCUCUGGAGACCAGGGUUCGAUUCCCUGCUCGGUCA